rnacentral:rRNA from 1 species
AGUGAACGCUGGCGGUAGGCCUAACACAUGCAAGUCGAACGGCAGCACAGUAAGAGCUUGCUCUUACGGGUGGCGAGUGGCGGACGGGUGAGGAAUACAUCGGAAUCUACUUUUUCGUGGGGGAUAACGUAGGGAAACUUACGCUAAUACCGCAUACUACCUACGGGUGAAAGCAGGGGAUCUUCGGACCUUGCGCGAUUGAAUGAGCCGAUGUCGGAUUAGCUAGUUGGCGGGGUAAAGGCCCACCAAGGCGACGAUCCGUAGCUGGUCUGAGAGGAUGAUCAGCCACACUGGAACUGAGACACGGUCCAGACUCCUACGGGGGGCAGCAGUGGGGAAUAUUGGACAAUGGGCGCAAGCCUGAUCCAGCCAUACCGCGUGGGUGAAGAAGGCCUUCGGGUUGUAAAGCCCUUUUGUUGGGAAAGAAAAGCAGCAGGUUAAUACCCCGCUGUUCUGACGGUACCCAAAGAAUAAGCACCGGCUAACUUCGUG